AGGGAUUAGCAUGAGCUCGGUCAAAGGGAUUGAUGUGGGAUCAGGUGUGUGGGAUCAGGUGUGAGAUCAGUCAGGGACUGAUGUGGGAUCAGGUGUGAGGGAUCAGGUGUGUGGGAUCAGGUGUGGGGGAUCAGGUGUGGGGGAUCAGGUGUGUGAGAUCAGUCAGGGACUGAUGUGGGAUCAGGUGUGGGAUCAGGUGUGAGAUCAGUCAGGGACUGAUGUGGGAUCAGGUGUGUGGGAUCAGGUGUGUGGGAUCAGGUGUGUGGGAUCAGUCAGGGACUGAUGUGGGAUCAGGUG